UCUUUUUACCGUCUCUCCGUCCUCUUCAAUUUCACCAAAUCUCUUUCCGCAACCGUCGCCGGCGAGCUUCUUUCUUUUUCCGAUCUUAAUAUCUGACUUACUUUCGAGGAUCAACCUGACAACAUACGAAUUUAUGCCAUGGAAGAUGGGGGAGUUUCUACGGAGUUGUUUUUCUUAUCACAAACCUAGAAAAGAKAAGAUCCCAUGGUGCUGAUCUUGCGCUUAUUGUUGGAAUCGGUGGUCUCGGAAUUAUUAUAUCAUUCAUAAUCAGGUAUUAUUCCCGUUACUGGAUAAGGGACACUAUUAUGUUGUGGUGUUCAAUUUGAAAAACCCAUCGGUUGUUGUCAUAGACAACAGAUAUUUAGAGGUGUCCGAUGAUGAUCAACUUCUACAGAUGUAUGACUUCAUUACAGACAUUCUGGCAUUUGAAUGCGGUUGGACAUCCAGCGGGGAGAGAACUAGAUGAAAUAGGCCAAGAAAGGUUGAGAAUGGAUUGGCAGACACAAAACAACUUUGAUGAUUGUGGCGUGUUUGCAAUGAGACAGAUGGAGACAUACGUGGGAGAUGUGCGAACAUGGAAAACUGGACUGGCAUAAGAAGGAAAAACACAAGAGAGCCAAAUAGCCUCCCUCGUAAUGAAAUAUGUAGCAAAGUUAUUGGUGAGCAACUAUAACAAGAAGAAGGAAUAUGUCGUUAAGGAAGAUGAGAAGUUCCAAUCAAUGGAUGAAGCCAUCCGAAAAAAGUUAAGAAAACAUGUUGACGAUAGAAAGACUGAGAGACUUCGAAUCUGAUUGAUGGAUGUUCUUUUAUAUCUUUGUCAUGUAGACGGUUUUAAUAACUUGAUUUUGGUAUUGAAU